UCCUCGAUAGUAUAGUGGCUAGUAUGCCCGCCCAAUAAGGCGGGAGGCUGGGGUUCAAUUCCCUGUCGAGGAG
rnacentral:tRNA from 2 species